rnacentral:misc_RNA from 1 species
GGCGGCUGCACGCUGAACUCAAAUGCUUCUUCACAAUCACAAAGCAUAUUCAACUGCAACUUCUAAACUCACUUGGAGAACCCAAAUCAAACAAAACCAACUGGUUUCCCAAAUCUCUUCUAUUUUAAUACAAAGACACAACUGGGUCUCACUUCUUCUGAAUCUUAAUCUUUCUUCCAAGCUCACUCCUCCUCUCUUCCUCCAAAUCCUCCAUAAAACUCAAUCCCACCCUCAAAUCUCUCUCAGCUUCUUCAACUGGGCCAUAUCCUAUCUCAAAUUCAAGCCAGACCUCAUAUCCCAAUGCCAUGUUAUCCAAGUUUCUCUUGGGGCGGGUCUUGCCCAAUCCGCGAAGACAAUCUUGGAUUCUCUAGUUCAAACCCGCAGUGCACAUGUACUCGUGGAGACCAUGGUUCAAGCUUGUAGAGGUAAAAGUUCUCAGUCUGAUGCUUUAAGCUUUGUUCUUCAAUGCUAUUCGCGUAAGGGUUUGUUUAUGGGUGCUUUGGAUGUGUCUAGGAAAAUGAGAGUUAUUGGAUGUACUCCUUCUGUUCAUGCCUGUAAUGCACUUCUUGAUGUUUUGCAAAGAGGAAAUCAGAUAAAAUUGGCCUGGUGUUUUUAUGGUGCCAUGAUUCGAGAUGGGAUUCUGCCCGAUAAGUUUACUUGUUCUCUGGUUGGUCAUAUUCUUCGUCGAGAUGGGAAAUUUGAGAGAAUUGUUAAAUUGUUGGACAUGGGUAUUUUUAAUUCAGUUAUGUACAAUGCUGUUGUUGAUUAUUACAGUAGAAUUGGGGAUUUUGAAGCUGCAUUUUGUCGCUUAAAUGAGUUGCAUCAUAGAAAACUUGACCCUAGUUUCAGUACCUAUGGCUCCAUACUAGAUGGAGCUUGCAAAUGUGGAAAUGUUGAAGUGAUUGACAGAGUAAUGGCUGAAAUGGUGGAUAAAGGAUUGCUUCCUAAGCCUCCUUUAUCUGAAUGUGGUUCAACUAUCCAGAAGCUUUGCGAUUUGGGAAAUGUGAAUGCUGCAACAAUGUUUUUCGAGAGAGCUUGUGAUGAGAGGAUUGGAUUGCAGGAUGCUACAUAUGGGUGUAUGCUAAAGGCAUUUUCUAAAGAAGGAAGGGUAGAGGAAGCUAUAGGUUUACACCGAAUGAUAAUAGAAAGGGGUAUCACAAUAAAGAAUAGUGCCUAUCAUGCUUUUGUAGAUCUUCUUUGUGAGGAAGAUCAACCUGAGGACAGAUAUGGAAUACUGAGGGACAUCAUGAGAAGGGGUUUUAGUCCUUCUACAUCUAAUUUGUGCAAAUGUAUCUCAUCAUUAUGUGCAGAACGCAAAUGGGGAGAGGUGGAGGAGCUGUUGAAUGUGGUUCUAGAGAAAGGGUUAUUGCCAGAUUCAUUAUCCUGUUAUUCCCUGGUCGAACAUUAUUGCUCCAGCAGACAGAUUGAUAAAGUUAUGGCAUUGCAUAAUAAGUUGGAGAAAUCAGAAGCAAGUUUAGAUGUGACAACAUAUAACAGAAUCCUUGAUGGUUUAGUUAAAGAAGGAAGAAUUGAAGAAUCAAUUAGGGUGUUUGAUUAUAUGAAAGGACUCAAAUUAGUUAAUAGUGCAAGUUUUACAGUUAUAAUCCGUGGGCUUUGUCAUGCAAAGGAGAUGAGAAAAGCAAUGAAGCUUCAUGAUGAAAUGUUGAAUAUGGGGCUUAAACCUGAUAAAGCAACAUAUAAAAGCUUGAUAUUGGAAUUCAAGCAAUAGGAUGUCUACUUCAAUGUCUCUGUUUGUUCUGUAAGUGUACAGGCUGAAAUUGCAUAUUUUGCCUUCUUUUUAUCACUUGGAAUAUUUCCCAAGCCAUGUUCACAGUGCAAAAAUGCAAAAAAGACUUAUUUUUUUUUUAUCAUUCCUAGAUAAAAUUUGAGCAGAAUUUUGUUGAAGCUCCAAACUUAAGAAAUUUGUUGAACUGGAUGAGGCAAAAAAGCUCAGUGUCAUUUUAGGCUGA